UUGAACGCUGGCGGCAUGCCUUACACAUGCAAGUCGAACGGUAACAGGUCUUCGGAUGCUGACGAGUGGCGAACGGGUGAGUAAUACAUCGGAACGUGCCUAGUAGUGGGGGAUAACUACUCGAAAGAGUAGCUAAUACCGCAUGAGAUCUACGGAUGAAAGCAGGGGACCUUCGGGCCUUGUGCUACUAGAGCGGCCGAUGGCAGAUUAGGUAGUUGGUGGGAUAAAAGCUUACCAAGCCGACGAUCUGUAGCUGGUCUGAGAGGACGACCAGCCACACUGGGACUGAGACACGGCCCAGACUCCGACGGGAGGCAGCAGGGGGGAAUUUUGGACAAUGGGCGAAAGCCUGAUCCAGCAAUGCCGCGUGCAGGAUGAAGGCCUUCGGGUUGUAAACUGCUUUUGUACGGAACGAAAAAGCUCCUUCUAAUACAGGGGGCCCAUGACGGUACCGUAAGAAUAAGCACCGGCUAACUACGUGCCAGCCGCCGCGGUAAGAC
rnacentral:rRNA from 1 species